rnacentral:rRNA from 1 species
CGGGACGGGUGAGUAACGCGUGGAUAACCUGCCUUUCACAGGGGGAUAACAGCUGGAAACGGCUGCUAAUACCGCAUGAGCCUCUUUUGUCGCAUGAGGAGAGAGGGAAAGAGAAAUCGGUGAGAGAUGGAUCCGCGUCCGAUUAGCUAGUUGGAGGGGUAACAGCCCACCAAGGCGACGAUCGGUAGCCGACCUGAGAGGGUGGACGGCCACAUUGGGACUGAGACACGGCCCAAACUCCUACGGAAGGCAGCAG